rnacentral:rRNA from 1 species
AUGACGAGUCACUACGGUGGCGAAGUAGCCCAUGCCCCGCUUCCAGGAAAAGCCUCUAAGCUCUAGAUUAUCAUUAAUCGUACCCCAAACCGACACAGGUGGUCAGGUAGAGAAUACUCAGGCGCCUGAGAGAACUCGGGUGAAGGAACUAGGCAAAAUGGUGCCGUAACUUCGGGAGAAGGCACGCUGGCAUUAGGUGAAGUGGUUUACCGAUGGAGCUGAAGCCAGUCGCAGAUACCAGCUGGCUGCAACUGUUUAUUAAAAACACAGCACUGUGCAA